rnacentral:rRNA from 1 species
AGUGAACGCUGGCGGCGUGCCUAAUACAUGCAAGUCGAACGGAGUGCCGCAAGGGUGAGUAAUAUAUCGCUAAUCUGCCCCUUGCUGGAGGACAACAGUUAGCAAUGACUGCUAAUACCCCAUAGCAAGGGAUGAGACUAUAUCGUAUCAGCUAGUCGGUGGGGUAACGGCCUACCGAGGCUAUGACGUGUAACUGGUCAGAGAGGAUGAGCAGUCGAAUUGGAAGUGAGAAACGGUCCAGACUCAUACGGGAAUCAGCAGUAGGGAAUAUUGCGAAAUGGGGGGAUCCCUGAAGCAGCAACGGCGCGUAGAGGAUGACACUUGUCGGAGCGUAAACUCCUUUUGUUAGGGAAGCGGUACCUAACGAAUAAGCACCGGCUAACUCCGUGCCAGCAGCCGCGGUAAUUC